AUUGAACGCUGGCGGCAGGCCUAACACAUGCAAGUCGAACGAGUGGCGGACGGGUGAGUAAUGUCUGGGAAACUGCCUGAUGGAGGGGGAUAACUACUGGAAACGGUAGCUAAUACCGCAUACCAUCAGAUGUGCCCAGAUGGGAUUGGCGUGUUGGUGGGGUAACGGCUCACCAAGGCGACGAUCCCUAGCUGGGCUGAGAGGAUGACCAGUCAACCUGGAACUGAGAAACGGUCCAGACUCCGACGGGAGGCAGCAGUGGGGAAUAUUGCACAAUGGGCGCAAGCCUGAUGCAGCCAUGCCGCGUGUGUGAAGAAGGCCUUCGGGUUGUAAAGUACUUUCAGCGGGGAGGCGUGACCCGCAGAAGAAGCACCGGCUAACUCCGGGCCAGCCGCCGCGGUAAUAC
rnacentral:rRNA from 1 species